rnacentral:rRNA from 1 species
GAUGAACGCUGGCGGCGUGCCUAAUACAUGCAAGUCGAGCGAACAGAUAAGGAGCUUGCUCCUUUGACGUUAGCGGCGGACGGGUGAGUAACACGUGGGUAACCUACCUAUAAGACUGGGAUAACUUCGGGAAACCGGAGCUAAUACCGGAUAACAUUUGGAACCGCAUGGUUCUAAAGUGAAAGAUGGUUUUGCUAUAACUUAUAGAUGGACCCGCGCCGUAUUAGCUAGUUGGUAAGGUAACGGCUUACCAAGGCAACGAUACGUAGCCGACCUGAGAGGCGGUUAGGCCACACAGAAACUAGAACACGUACCAUCCGCCUACGCGAGUCAGCAGUAGGGAUUCUUCCUCAAUGCGAGAAAUCCAGACGUAGCAACACCGCUUGCGUGCUGAAGGGUUUCGGCUCGUAAAACUCCAUUAUUAGGGAAGAACAAACGUGUAAGUAACUGUGCACGUCUUGACGGUACCUUAUCAGAUAGCUACGGCUAACUACGUG